AAUCAACGCUGGCGGCGUGCCUCAGACAUGCAAGUCGAACGAUUAAGACGUCUCUUCGGAGAGUGCAUAAAGUGGCGCACGGGUGAGUAACACGUAAGUAAUCUACCCUCGAGUGGGGAAUAACGUCCGGAAACGGACGCUAAUACCGCAUAAUGCAGCGGCACCGCAAAGGUGACAGUUGUUAAAGAUUUAUCGCUUGAGGAGGAGCUUGCGGCAGAUUAGCUAGUUGGUAAGGUAAUGGCUUACCAAGGCUACGAUCUGUAACCGGUCUAAGAGGACGGUCGGUCACACUGACACUGAAUAACGGGUCAGGACUCCUACGGGAGGC
rnacentral:rRNA from 1 species